GCAUAUCAAUAAGCGGAGGAAAAGAAACCAACAGGGAUUGCCCUAGUAACGGCGAGUGAAGCGGCAACAGCUCAAAUUUGAAAUCUGGCGUCUUCGGCGUCCGAGUUGUAAUUUGCAGAGGGCGCUUUGGCAUUGGCAGCGGUCCAAGUUCCUUGGAACAGGACGUCACAGAGGGUGAGAAUCCCGUACGUGGUCGCUAGCCUUUACCGUGUAAAGCCCCUUCGACGAGUCGAGUUGUUUGGGAAUGCAGCUCUAAAUGGGAGGUAAAUUUCUUCUAAAGCUAAAUACUGGCCAGAGACCGAUAGCGCACAAGUAGAGUGAUCGAAAGAUGAAAAGCACUUUGGAAAGAGAGUUAAAAAGCACGUGAAAUUGUUGAAAGGGAAGCGCUUGCAGCCAGACUUGCCUGUAGUUGCUCAUCCGGGUUUCUACCCGGUGCACUCUUCUACGGGCAGGCCAGCAUCAGUUUGGGCGGUUGGAUAAAGGUCUCUGUCAUGUACCUCUCUUCGGGGAGAACUUAUAGGGGAGACGACAUGCAACCAGCCUGGACUGAGGUCCGCGCAUCUGCUAGGAUGCUGGCGUAAUGGCUGUAAGCGGCCCGUCUUGAAACACGGACCAAGGAGUCUAACAUCUAUGC
rnacentral:rRNA from 1 species